ACUUGCAUGUGCAUGUAUUAUUGUUAUACAGUAUACAGUACUGUAAUUGUUAAAGUUUUUCCUGUUGUUUCUCUAGGGAGCAGAGGGAUUCAAGGGUUACCUGGUGACCAAGGACUGCCGGGGGUUCAAAGGGGGAAACUGGAGAGCCUGGUCCCAAAGGAAGCAAGUAUAAAACAACACGUGUGUUUAGUCCUUGUGCUUUUUAGAUGUGUUCAUGACUUAUAUUUUAAGAAACAGCAGUUAAUGGUGUUUUCAUUUUUCAUCAUCAACCUCCCAUUCUGUUUCUCUAGGGUGAGAGGGGGAAUAAUGAUGUGACUGAGACCCCUGGGACAAGAGUAUUUAACUUUUCCCCUCUCUCGACUCUACUUGAGGGGCAUGCAUUACUCGUAACUGAUAUAGAUGUUCAUACUGCCUUUUAGACUCUGAUUUCAUGUUUUUCCAUGUCAUUGCCGCUCUGUAGGGUGAAACUGGGCUCAGAGGAAGCAAAGAAGAGAAAGGUGUAUCAGGAGACACUGGAGCCAGAGGGCCAGAGGGAAGGAAGGGGGAUGUGGGUCUGAUGGGAGCUGCUGGGCCUUGUGCCUCUCCUGGACAAGAUGGGUUACCAGGGAAAUCAGGAGAGCUUGGAUACCCAG